AUAUUUAUUUUAUUUCUUAAUAUUUUAUUCAUUGUGUAAUUGUUUUGAAUAUUCGUUAUGCUUUGAUAAAACAUGCGUAUUGAAGUCAAAUCUCAGACAAAACUUUAUAGCGCCGGGACAUAAGUAACAUUGGUAAAAUUAUGAUUUUGAUUUUUAAUAACUGAAGUUAUGAAUUUUUAAUACGUGAUGUUUCAGUCCAUUGCGGGACCUAAAACUACUUUUCAUAUAACACAACUCGCAAUGAAAUUCACUCAUUUCGAAUAGCAAAUAAAGUAAAGUAUCUUAAGAGUUAGAUGUUUUUAUAGAGCAUAUAUAAUGUUUUCAUUUGAAUGGUAUAUGUACAUACGUAUACAUGUAUGUAUGUAUAUAAAGACAGAAAAUAUAAUAUUUGAAAUCCUAUUCUCACAUCUUUUACAUGAUUACAACUAUAUACCUACCGCAAGAACCAAUCAGCCAAUAUAUCUCAUUUUAGAAGAAAAGACGAAUGAGAGUAUAAAAGAUCAUGUAAUCAUGAUUAUAUAAUUUAGUAUAAAACAUUGUUUAGUUUGAAUAGUUUCAUUUUUAUAACGGUAUGUAAGCAUUUUUGAUAUAUAAAAGGAUAAUCAAAAUUUCAUUAAACAUGUACAUGCAUAGGCGUUCCUAGAAACACUUAACGAGAUAAAACUGGCGAUUGGAUACACCAAGGUUGAAGAUCUAUGUAUAGGAUUUGCGUACAAGAUCAAUGGAUGUAAACUUAAAAAAACAUUAUUUGGAACAAAGGUAGUCCUUUAUUUAAGCGAUAAGGACAAUGAGCCGCUUUGGAUAUUUUUACCUAAAAGUUAUGUAACCAAAUUUUCCACAAAAACACCCUUUAAGAUGCUAAAGGAACAUGGAAUUUCACAUCUUAUAUAUAAAGGAAAAGAGAUGACUAGCACUCCCCAUUUCCAAUUUGUAGUAAAGAAUAAAUAAAGAAUUCAAGGGAUUCAAUUCUUAUACAUAAGAGAAAAGAGACAACUUGAUAUUCAUGUAAAUAAAAAAAAGGAACCAGGUUAAAACAUAAAUACAUUUGCGAGUUAGAAAGAGAUAAAUGGUAUAGCACGGUUUAUUUAUUUUAUGUUAUUAUUGUUUAUUAUUUAUGAAUGAUACAAUCAAAUACAACUUUUUAUACCCGGUACUCGAAGAGUAAAUAGGGUAUAUUGUAUUUGUGUCGAAUAACGGUUGUAUGUAACACACUGAAGGAAGCGUUUCCGACCCCAUAAAGUAUAUAUAUUCUUGAUCAGCAUCAAUAGCCGAGUCGAUAGAGCCAUGUCUGUCUGUUCGUCUGUCCGUCUUGUUUGUCGGCUAGUUCUCAGAGACUAUAAGAGCUAGAGCCAACAAAUGUUGGCUCCAGACUGCUGUAUGCUCACACUGAAACCAGUGUAUUUCCAAAAUGAGCCACGCCCCCCUUCCGCCCCCGAAAAAGGGCGAAAACCUUCCAAAUCUACAAUUUUGAAGAUAAAAGAAAACUAAAACCAUUCCGUAGGGAAUGACCAUAUCUAUCGGAUCACCAAAUUGGGAUCCGAUUGGAUCAUUAUUAUAGCCACAAUGGAGAAAUUAAUUUCCAGUGGCUAAACUCACCCUGUCCCGCAGCUUUUGUUGUUCUUUUUACAUUCUCUCAUUCACACUGUGCUUCUGCUUCACUCGGCCCCUGCCUCUGCCCUCCCCCUGCCGAUGUCUAUUCCGACUUUUAACCCACCCCAGCUUAUAUUUGUUUUUUUUGUGUGUGCGGGCGCUGCCUCUGCCGCGAGUCUGCAGUGUGUGGGUCUAGGGAAGGGCGGCGAGCUAACGGAGCGUGUUGGUGUGAGAAGUGUUGUAGAUGAAGAUGAUAGAUGAAGAAAAAAUUUAAACUUUGACAAAACACCGCUAAGGUGCAGAUGUAGUCCUGAGUGCCGGGUAUAAAAGUUGUGACGCGUAAGAAGCUUCUCACACGUCCCUUCUCGUUCUUAGUCAAUUCGAAGAGAUGAUUUUCGAUGAGCAUUUUAAAAUCCUGGAAAACCUCAUGGUUAUUUUGGAGGAUCUGGAGGAAAAGGAGCUUCAAUACUAAAAGUUCGUGUUUCACUAUAAGCUGUGCCCCUGGAGCAACGACGAUGCUACCGAUGGACAUGACACGUGCCUUUGUCAUACGUUACCGGCAAAGAAAGCCCAAGCUAUAGACCUCAUGCUUAAAUAUGAUAGAUUAAAUAAUAGAAUGAAUCCCACUAAAAAAAAUAAAA
rnacentral:lncRNA from 1 species